AUCUUCACGGCGACGGGCAACGCGGACCCGACCAUCAGCCAGGCGUUCCUGCCGCAGCUCCGGGCGUUGUGCCCGCCCGGCGGCGACACGGGCCGGCGGGUGGUCUGGACAAGGACAGCCCCGGCGCGUUCGACGUGAGCUUCUUCAAGAGCGUCCGGGACGGGAACGCCGUGCUGGAGUCGGUCCAGCAGCUGUGGAGCGACGCCGCGACGCAGAGCGCCGUGCAGAAGUACGCCGGCAAUGUGCGGGGCCUGCUCAGGCUCCGGUUCGCGUACGAGUUCCCCAGGGCCAUGGUGCGGAUGAGCAGCGCCGCGGUGAAGACCGGCGGGCAGGGCGAGGUCAGGAGGAGGUGCUCCAGGAUCAACUGAUGCGGCGCAGGCGGCAGAGUUCUACCGGCUUGGCCGUGUGCGAACUGGAACCGCUUCGUGUGUUGGCACGUCGUGCUCGGCUGGGGACAUGAAACAAAUGGUGCCAGCAUGCAACGAUUCUUUGCUAGUAUUGGCUGCGACCUGUGGUGUAUGCGUGUGUGGCUUCUUGCCUGUCACUUUCUUGCUCUGUGUCUGAAGGUAACCUGCAUAAUUCGGCCAACAUCUUGUGCCUAAUCGCUAGCAUUUGAGAAUAUACGCAUGUCCUAUUGAUUUCCA